rnacentral:lncRNA from 1 species
CCUUUUGUUGCCGUUCUUUGGCCUCCCUCUGUUCCAUCUAGACAGAGGAGGGUCUUUCCCCUUUCUACCCCGAGAGUAGGUCUCCCUCUCCCAACUUUUUCCCUUGUUUUUUGUUCUUUUUGUUUAUUUUUUUGUAGAUCUAAUGCUAAAUCUUGAGAGUCGUUUAUAUCCACUUUUCUAGCUUUUAGUUUUAUUUUACUCGUGUUGGUUUUUCUGCUCUUCAUCGUUUGGUUUUACUUCUGAGGAGUCACUGAUGUGUGUAUUGAUCUGAUAUUCUUGCAGUUUGCUGCUUGAUUCGAAACGAAUGGUUCUCUUUUCUAGGGGGUGUAUCUCUUAGGGACCAAUCACCCAGUCUCUCAAAAACCGUCGAUGUCAAAAGAGCUCUGCUCGCAGCCCACAUUUUCUCUUACUCAGAUCUGCUAGCCUAUGCUCAGCUUCCCUCUUCUGUUGGCUCUCCUUCCAGCUUUUGAAGUUUUCUACCUGUUGCCUUCGGCUGCUAGAGUUUCUUAAGGA